rnacentral:rRNA from 1 species
AGCGAACGCUGGCGGCAGGCUUAACACAUGCAAGUCGAGCGGGCAGAGCAAGAUGUCAGCGGCAGACGGGUGAGGAACGCGAGGGAACGUACCUCUGGGUUCGGAACAACUGAGGGAAACUUCAGCUAAUACCGGACAAGCCCGUACGGGGAGAGAUUUAUCGCCGAAGGAUCGGCCCGCGUCUGAUUAGCUAGUUGGUGAGGUAAUGGCCCACCAAGGCGACGAUCCGUAGCUGGUCUGAGAGGAUGAUCAGCCACAUUGGGACUGAGACACGGCCCAAACUCCUACGGGAAGCAGCAGUGGGGAAUAUUGGACAAUGGGCGCAAGCCUGAUCCAGCCAUGCCGCGUGAGUGAUGAAGGCCCUAGGGUUGUAAAGCUCUUUUGUGCGUGAAGAUAAUGACGGUACCGCAAGAAUAAGCCCCGGCUAACUUCGUG